rnacentral:sRNA from 1 species
CAGCAAUUUUACCAGUCUUCUGUUGCUGAUCUUGCUGCUCAUGCAUCAAGAAAUAUUCCACAAUCCGUUGCACAACUUCAAUGUCGUGCAUUGUGCAUUCUUCAGGUGAACUGUACUACACAUUAUGAUAAUUAACAAGAACAUGAAGGUUGGUUAUGCCAGUGAUAUCUAUUGUAUGUUUCCCAUUCAUAGUAAAUAAAGAAUGCAGAAUACUCACUCAACCAGUUUCCCUUGAUCUGCAUUGUAGUACCUAGGAAUCAGCAAAUCGUUCACAUUGGCAUCUUCUAACAUCAUCCCGGCUCUCUUUUCAAGCUCUGAAAUCAACGCUGGUGAUGCAGAGUACAGCAUGGCCAACUUUAACAUCCGCAAUAAGAACUUACAUGGAAGAGCUUUGUUUUGAGGAGGUAGACACUUGGUUAAGCCACCAACCUUCUUGACCGUCUGCAUCCCCAAUGGCGUUUUCUCUGGAAGCCUUCCAAGCGAUUGAGUCACAGCAGCGUCUGACAAUUUGAAGAUUUUCAGCCCACGGAGAGAGAGUUUCACAAGAUUUAAGCACAGCAAUGGUGUCUUUCCGUGAAGAAAGGACAACCAAGGGUUCAAGUCCACUGGAAGACCAUAACAGAAUUUUAAAAUGAUUUCAAAGGUUUCUGAUCCGCCGGGGAAGUUUUCAAGCUUGAGGUCAUAACCGCAAUUUGAAGGUGAAGGAUGAAAUUCCAAUCGACCUAUGUAGCCACAUUUCGAUACCAAAGGAUACUGCAAAAACAAAGAGAAAUGGACCAUGAACUUAUUGACUAGUGUGUAGAUGUGUGUCCAAGUUAUGUCUCGAGCCGUGCAUGCUUGUAUUGCUCUGUAAGUUUACCUUAUGGACGUCGAAGGUGAUGCCUUGAACUUGAAUGGUUAGGUCUGUCGGGACAUGAGAAUUGAUAAACCUGCACGAAUCCACCAAAUAAGUAUGUCGUUACUCGUU